CGACCCCAGGUCAGGCGGGAUUACCAGCUGAGUUUAAGCAUAUCAAUAAGCGGAGGAAAAGAAACUUACUAGGAUUCCCCUAGUAACGGCGAGCGAACUGGGAAAAGCCCAGCUUGAGAAUCGGGCACCAUCGGCGCUCGAAUUGUAGUCUGGAGAAGCGUCCUCAGCGGCGGACUGGGCCCAAGUCCCCUGGAAAGGGGCGCCGGAGAGGGUGAGAGCCCCGUCGUGCCCGGACCCUGUCGCACCAAGUACACACAUACAUCACAAAACGUACUUGAAAAAAAAACAGCAAAGGGUAGUCCUAUACAUGCCAUAUCCAGAGCUCAACUAAAAGAGUACCAAAGGGGCUUUGAUAGUGUGGAUGACUUCGACUUCGAUGAUCCCGAAUCCGAUA
rnacentral:ncRNA from 1 species